GCCUAACACAUGCAAGUCGAACGAAGUAGCAAUACUUAGUGGCAGACGGGUGAGUAACAUGUAGGUAUCUGCCCUUUGGCCUGGAAUAACACGAGGAAACUUGUGCUAAUACCGGAUAAGUCUUUACGGAGAAAGCUUUAUGCACCAUUGGAUGAGCCUGCACUUGAUUAGUUUGUUGGUGGGGUAAUGGCCUACCAAGACUGUGAUCAAUAGCUGAUUUGAGAGGAUGAUCAGCCACAUUGGGACUGAGACACGGCCCAAACUCCUACGGGAGGCAGCAGUGGGGAAUCUUGCACAAUGGAGGAAACUCUGAUGCAGCGAUGCCGCGUGAGUGAAGAAGGCCCUUGGGUUGUAAAGCUCUUUCGUCGGGGAAGAAAAUGACUGUACCCGAAUAAGAAGGUC
rnacentral:rRNA from 1 species